AGCCUGCCUGAUAGCUGAAGAAAGCAGUCUCUGACAAAGAGUGUCUAAUCAUCUGAGCAUCCCUGUGGUACCCUGCCUCACCCAGUGCUGGAGCUUAUUCUCUGAUGGUUUGGUUUUAGCACAGAGCUUGCUGCUGAAGGCUCUCAAAUCUUGCUGCCCUGCCGGCUCCUGACACCGCCGGUAGGAGUGGAUUUUGCAUUUAUUACUUCACAGUGACACCUGCUGGAAAAGACCCCUUCCUUAGGCAGAAGUCUGUGCUGGAGCUAUUAAUGCUGAGCUCUGACUGCUGACCCAAGGUGUAACCCUGUCAGACAUCAUUUCCUCAAGCUAGCG